GCAAAUAUAUAAAUCAUUUAUUUAUUAGCCAAACGGAGGCUAUUAAACAUCGAAUUUGUAACAUUCCACUAACAUCACAUAAACUCCUUUUCCACUUAAUCUUGUGUUUACGUCCCAGUCGAGAUAUUGGAGAUGGCUUAUGCUGCUACACUUUCACUUACUCAAAGGCUAGAGCAGAUCUUGAAUCCUGAUGAUCAACGUCCGACUCUUCUUCAUCAAACAGACUCACAGAUGUUAAGAUCUCUCGAUGAAAAUCUUAGCUUCUUG
rnacentral:lncRNA from 1 species